UGUUUGCGUGAGCGAUGGAAAUGAAAAUCCUUUUGCGAGGAACGAGCAAAAGAUAUAGCGGACAGCGCGACGGCGC
rnacentral:misc_RNA from 1 species